UACGGGGGGGGCAAGCGUUGUUCGGAAUUACUGGGCGUAAAGGGCUCGUAGGCGGCCAACUAAGUCAGACGUGAAAUCCCUCGGCUUAACCGGGGAACUGCGUCUGAUACUGGAUGGCUAGAGGUUGGGAGAGGGAUGCGGAAUUCCAGGUGUAGCGGUGAAAUGCGUAGAUAUCUGGAAGAACACCAGUGGCGAAGGCGGCUCACUGGACCGUUGUUGACGCUGAGGUGCGAAAGCGUGGGGAGCAAACAGG
rnacentral:rRNA from 1 species